AAUUAAUGAACUUGUAUAAGUUUAUAUUUUGAAAAUAUAACAAAGAGAUUAAACUCUCUAUUAAUUU
rnacentral:tRNA from 1 species